rnacentral:rRNA from 1 species
GACGAACCGAGCGAACGUUGUUCGGAAUCACUGGGCUUAAAGGGCGCGUAGGCGGGUGCUCAAGUCUGUGGUGAAAUCCUCCGGCUCAACCGGAGAACUGCCAUGGAUACUGGGUGCCUCGAGGGUGGUAGGGGUAUGCGGAACUAUCGGUGGAGCGGUGAAAUGCGUUGAUAUCGAUAGGAACUCCGGUGGCGAAGGCGGCAUACUGGACCACUUCUGACGCUGAGGCGCGAAAGCCAGGGGAGGCGAACGGG